GAGACUUGGAUGCUCUUCCUCUUUCUCUCUCUCUCCUUCUCUAUCUAUCGUAGCUCCCAAGUCCCAACAAACACUCACUGCAAGCAAAAAAGCAGAGAGUAGUAGAUUUAAAGGAAGCACAAAGCCCACCCUUACAAAAAAGCAACUAAAAAAAUAUCUUCUUAAUUCAGUCCUUAUUAGAUCUCUUAAGUUAUUCCUUUCCAUUCACACAAGCUCAGGUGAAGAGACGUGAGAGCUAGUUCGAAUAAGAUUUUGUUCUAGUUUUUUGUUUUUAUUUUGUAGCAUUUGUGGUUAUCAGGAAAAAAAAAUGGAGAAAAGCACUCCAGUUCGAAAAUCUCACACUAACACUGCAGAUCUGCUCACUUGGUCGGAAAAUCCGCCGGAAAAUUCCCCGGCAAUCGGUUCUGCUGCUUCCGCUGCCCGGUCUCGUCAGCCGUCUGAUGGGAUCCAAAAAGUGGUAUUUGGUGGUCAAGUGACUGAUGAAGAAGUUGAGAGUUUGAACAAGAGGAAACCUUGUUCUGGUUAUAAACUAAAGGAGAUGACAGGUAGCGGUAUUUUUGUAGCUGAUGGAGAAAAUGGCGUUUUAGAAUCUGACAGUACUAAUCCCAUUCCAAAUAGAAGGAUGUAUCAGCAAGCUGUAUCUGGUAUAAGUCAAAUUUCAUUUGGUGAUGAAGACACCGUGUCUCCAAAGAAGCCAGUCACUAUCCCUGAAGUGGCAAAGCAGAGGGAACUAAGUGGAACUCUAGAAAGUGAGUCUGAGAUGAAGUUGAAGAAACAAAUUUCUGAUGCAAAGACCAAGGAGCUCGUCGGACAUGACAUUUUUGCUCCUCCACCUGAAAUUCAACCUCGUCCAUCCACUGCUCGUGCAUUGGCAUUAAGAGAAAGCAUUACCAUUGGAGAAGCUGCACCAACAAAUGGUGAUUCGUCUGGUGACGAACAAGUAGUCAAGACAGCCAAGAAGAUUCCUGAAAAGAAGCUUGCAGAGCUCACAGGAAAUGACAUAUUCAAGGGCGAUAAUCCUCCAGCAUCAGCUGAGAAGCACCUGAGUUCAGCAAAGUUGCGAGAAAUGAGUGGAAGCAAUAUAUUUGCAGAUGGGAAAGUAGAAUCUCGAGACUUCUAUGGCGGGGUUCGCAAGCCUCCAGGUGGUGAGAGCAGCAUUGCAUUGGUGUAACUUGUUAGGUCUAACUCAAUUUACAUCAUUAAUUGUGUUUCCCUUUUUAUUAUCCAUUAUUUGUAGUUGGGGUUUGAUUCUGAUGUGAUUUGACCAGUGUUCUGGAAUUUAUUAUGUCCCUAGGAUCUUAUUUGACAUGUCAACCAGAACUAAGAACUUUUGGCUAAUUGGGUUGUAUGUUGUUCAUAAAUCUCUGUUUCUGGUGGACUUUGUUUGUGUGAUAAUGUGUCAUCUGAGUUCAAUUAAUUAAU
rnacentral:misc_RNA from 1 species